AUCCGGGUUGCGGACAGUGUCUGGUGGGUAGUUUGACUGGGGCGGUCUCCUCCUAAAGAGUAACGGAGGAGCACGAAGGUUGGCUAAUCCUGGUCGGACAUCAGGAGGUUAGUGCAAUGGCAUAAGCCAGCUUGACUGCGAGCGUGACGGCGCGAGCAGGUGCGAAAGCAGGUCAUAGUGAUCCGGUGGUUCUGAAUGGAAGGGCCAUCGCUCAACGGAUAAAAGGUACUCCGGGGAUAACAGGCUGAUACCGCCCAAGAGUUCAUAUCGACGGCGGUGUUUGGCACCUCGAUGUCGGCUCAUCACAUCCUGGGGCUGAAGUAGGUCCCAAGGGUAUGGCUGUUCGCCAUUUAAAGUGGUACGCGAGCUGGGUUUAGAACGUCGUGAGACAGUUCGGUCCCUAUCUGCCGUGGGCGCUGGAGAACUGAGGGGGGCUGCUCCUAGUACGAGAGGACCGGAGUGGACGCAUCACUGGUGUUCGGGUUGUCAUGCCAAUGGCACUGCCCGGUAGCUAAAUGCGGAAGAGAUAAGUGCUGAAAGCAUCUAAGCACGAAACUUGCCCCGAGAUGAGUUCUCCCUGACUCCCUGAGAGUCCUGAAGGAACGUUGAAGACGACGACGUUGAUAGGCCGGGUGUGUAAGCGCAGCGAUGCGUUGAGCUAACCGGUACUAAUGAACCGUGAGGCUUAACCUUACAACGCCGAAGCUGUU
rnacentral:rRNA from 1 species